AACUAAUCCAUGCGCCAUGGUCUUAUCUUGUCCGCCCCAUAUUUUAUACGAGAAAAUAUUUCUCGUGUAAACUCUCCACACACAAAUCAACUCACGCCCCUUCUCUUCUCACGCACAAGUGGAUAGAGAUGAGUUGGUUUUGCAUUUGAAUUCAAAUUUGAUUUGAAUUCAAAUGUGCAACCACUUAUCUUUAUCCUCUCACGCGGAUAAGACACGUUCGAUGUUGUUUUAAAAAGAAGA
rnacentral:lncRNA from 1 species